UCUACAAUAGCUUUGACUGGGCUGAUCAUGUCAACAUCAUCAUUUCACAAUCUUAGCUAGCAGUCACCAGCAUGAAUCAAGACUACUGGCAAAUCAUUUUUAAUCCUUGUCAUAUAAAGAGAAAUUAUAGAUAAAACGUAUCGGUGCUCAUCGGCCGUUGAAAAUCGCUAAUUCAACAAUGAGUUGAUUGUAAGGAAUUGGUGACAGUGGCUAACCACAAACAUUGCAACUGGGAAGUCAGACUGGGAAAAUACGUUUUGAACGGUCAUCCAACUCGGAAUUGUAAAUCUUUUUUUUUAAUGACAACAUUUGCCAACAAAGGACCACCACGCACAAUAAGCAUGACACCUCUCCUUCACAUAGAGUUGAUCAGGCUUGAUUAUGGAAUGUUUUCCCAACUUCUCUUCAAUGGCUGUGCGAAGUUGCUGGAUAUUGGCGGGAAA